ensembl:lncRNA
UGCAAUAACAAGUGCUGAAGAAGAUGCCAUAACAAGUGCAGAACACGAUACUGUAACAGAUGCACAAUACGACCCCACAUCAUUCAUAACUUUUUUAAAGAAUUAUGACAAAGACAACGACGAAAAUUAUCAUGAGAAAAAAAAUGGUAAGUAUGAUGAAGAUGGAGAAAAAGAAGAGUCAUAUGCAUAUUUACCAAUGUAUGAUAACAUUUAUAAUAUUAAAAAUCUGGAAGAGGAAAUUAAUAUUAGUAACUUAUUGAAUCCAAAUGAUAAGUUAUUAAAUAAUGAAGUGAAAAAAGAUUUAAUGGUGUUAAUAAAUAAAAUGAAUGUUGAUAAAUAUGAUAUUCAUAAUAAAUAUGUUUCUACUUUAGAAGAAGAAAGGAAUAGAUCUAAUUUGUUAUAUAAGGAAAAUAUAGAAGAUAUACAAAAAAUGGAAAGUUCGUAUAAUCAAAUUAAUAAAGCAUGGAAAGUUAUGUAUGGGUGUAAUGAACGUAAUGAAUUGACUACUGAAGCAAUUUUAAAAAAAAAUGUUGUAAGUUUGUAUAAGGAGAUAAAAAAAGCAGAUGAUGGUAACGGUAGUAGAAACGGUUUAGGUCCUAAAUACAAAGAUGUUAUUAUAAACGAAGACCCCGAAUUAAGCAAUAAGUUAUUCGAAGAAGAAUUAAAAAAAAAUAUGCAGCAAUCUGAUAUGGAAAUAAUAAGAGGUAAUAUUUUAUUAAACAAUAAUGAUAAAAGAAAAAAAGAAAUGAAACAAAUUAUGCAAUUAAAAAUGAUGUUAGCAGCUGAGAGGCGUAAAUCCAUUUACCGGAAAAACAUUAAAUCGAAAACAUAUAGAAAACAUUUAAAAUUAAAAGAAAAAAAAGAAGAAAAAAUACUUUUCGAAAAAAUAUGUACAGAAGCUCCAGAACUAGCUGAACAAUUACAUAAUUUUGAAGAAGAAUAUGCAAAAAAAAGAAACAUUAUAAAUAAUGUAAAAAAUAGAAAGACUUUAAAUUUGGUAAACAAAUAUAAAAAUGAGGGACUCAAAAAAGAAAUUUUAAAAAGUGUACAAGCUAAUAAAGAAAAAAAAAACAUGCUUAAAACGGUAAUAACAAAAGCGUUAGGUGAAAUAAAUGAUUCAUCAUCUGUUGUAUAUGCAGAUAAUAAUGAUGUUAGUUAUGUUAAUAAUAGUGUAAGUGACGGUAGUAGUAGUAGUAGUAGUAGUAGUGGUAACAUGACAACAUGUGAUGAUAAACAAAACGACUCUGAUUGUUGUUAUUCCGAAUCAGAAAAUAAAGAAAGAAAUAAUAAACGAAUGAAACAAAAAAAAACAAAAAAAAAAUUACAAAAAUAUGCUUUUAUGAAAAAUGCAAAAGAAUAUAAAAUAAAUGAAGAUAUUAUAAAAAAAAGAAAAGCGUUGUUAAAUAUGAUUGAUAAGGAUGGUAGUAGUAGUAGUAUUAGCAAUCUUGUUGUUACAAGUAAUAAUGUUAACAAUGCAGGACCUGACAAUCCUUUGUCUAGUGAUUACUACUUUUCUGACGAAGAAAACUUAGUGAAGGAUUCUAAACUUAUGCAAAACUCGAAUAAAGUUCAAAAUUUGAGUGACAAGCAGUUAAAAAAGGGGAAAGAACAGUUAAAAAAUAAUAUUGACUUUAUUAAUAAUUUAAAAAAAAGGAAAAUAUUAAAUCUGGAUGAGAUCAUUAAUUCGAAUGACUUGGAGGAAGUGGAAGGAGGUGGCGUAGUGGAAGUAGAAGCGGAUGAUGACGUAGUGGAAGUAGAGGCAGAUGACGUAGUGGAAGUAGAGGCAGAUGACGUAGUGGAAGUAGAGGCGGAUGAAGUAGUGAAUAAUUUUUUAAAAACGAAUGAAAGUAAAAAUGAUAUAGAUGGUGAUAGCAAUGGUAUCGCACAGAACAAAACCGACUUAAACCAUAUCGACAACGUUAACAACGAAAACGUACUUAAAACAUUUGGGGAAAAAAUAAAUAUGUAUAACCACGAAAACAACGUGUAUGAAAAUUAUAUAAACAUUGAAGAAGUUAUUAAUGAAAAAGAAGACGAAGAGUUACUCGAAUU